GAUGAACCGUGCGAACGUUGUUCGGAAUCACUGGGCUUAAAGGGCGCGUAGGCGGGCGGUCAAGUCAGAGGUGAAAUCCCACGGCUCAACCGUGGAAGUGCCCCCUGAUACUGACUGUCUCGAGGGAGGUAGGGGCGUGCGGAACUUCCGGUGGAGCGGGUGAAAUGCGUAGAUAUCGGAAGGAACACCGAUGGCGAAAAGCAGCGCGCUGGACCUCUACUGACGCUGAGGCGCGAAAGCCAGGGAGCAAACGG
rnacentral:rRNA from 1 species